rnacentral:rRNA from 1 species
GGGACCAUCCUCCAAGGCUAAAUACUCCUGACUGACCGAUAGUGAACCAGUACCGUGAGGGAAAGGCGAAAAGAACCCCGGCGAGGGGAGUGAAAAAGAACCUGAAACCGUGUACGUACAAGCAGUGGGAGCACGCUUAGGCGUGUGACUGCGUACCUUUUGUAUAAUGGGUCAGCGACUUAUAUUCUGUAGCAAGGUUAACCGAAUAGGGGAGCCGAAGGGAAACCGAGUCUUAACUGGGCGUUAAGUUGCAGGGUAUAGACCCGAAACCCGGUGAUCUAGCCAUGGGCAGGUUGAAGGUUGGGUAACACUAACUGGAGGACCGAACCGACUAAUGUUGAAAAAUUAGCGGAUGACUUGUGGCUGGGGGUGAAAGGCCAAUCAAACCGGGAGAUAGCUGGUUCUCCCCGAAAGCUAUUUAGGUAGCGCCUCGUGAAUUCAUCUCCGGGGGUAGAGCACUGUUUCGGCAAGGGGGUCAUCCCGACUUACCAACCCGAUGCAAACUGCGAAUACCGGAGAAUGUUAUCACGGGAGACACACGGCGGGUGCUAACGUCCGUCGUGAAGAGGGAAACAACCCAGACCGCCAGCUAAGGUCCCAAAGUCAUGGUUAAGUGGGAAACGAUGUGGGAAGGCCCAGACAGCCAGGAUGUUGGCUUAGAAGCAGCCAUCAUUUAAAGAAAGCGUAAUAGCUCACUGGUCGAGUCGGCCUGCGCGGAAGAUGUAACGGGGCUAAACCAUGCACCGAAGCUGCGGCAGCGACGCUUAUGCGUUGUUGGGUAGGGGAGCGUUCUGUAAGCCUGCGAAGGUGUGCUGUGAGGCAUGCUGGAGGUAUCAGAAGUGCGAAUGCUGACAUAAGUAACGAUAAAGCGGGUGAAAAGCCCGCUCGCCGGAAGACCAAGGGUUCCUGUCCAACGUUAAUCGGGGCAGGGUGAGUCGACCCCUAAGGCGAGGCCGAAAGGCGUAGUCGAUGGGAAACAGGUUAAUAUUCCUGUACUUGGUGUUACUGCGAAGGGGGGACGGAGAAGGCUAUGUUGGCCGGGCGACGGUUGUCCCGGUUUAAGCGUGUAGGCUGGUUUUCCAGGCAAAUCCGGAAAAUCAAGGCUGAGGCGUGAUGACGAGGCACUACGGUGCUGAAGCAACAAAUGCCCUGCUUCCAGGAAAAGCCUCUAAGCAUCAGGUAACAUCAAAUCGUACCCCAAACCGACACAGGUGGUCAGGUAGAGAAUACCAAGGCGCUUGAGAGAACUCGGGUGAAGGAACUAGGCAAAAUGGUGCCGUAACUUCGGGAGAAGGCACGCUGAUAUGUAGGUGAAGUCCCUUGCGGAUGGAGCUGAAAUCAGUCGAAGAUACCAGCUGGCUGCAACUGUUUAUUAAAAACACAGCACUGUGCAAACACGAAAGUGGACGUAUACGGUGUGACGCCUGCCCGGUGCCGGAAGGUUAAUUGAUGGGGUCAGCGCAAGCGAAGCUCUUGAUCGAAGCCCCGGUAAACGGCGGCCGUAACUAUAACGGUCCUAAGGUAGCGAAAUUCCUUGUCGGGUAAGUUCCGACCUGCACGAAUGGCGUAAUGAUGGCCAGGCUGUCUCCACCCGAGACUCAGUGAAAUUGAACUCGCUGUGAAGAUGCAGUGUACCCGCGGCAAGACGGAAAGACCCCGUGAACCUUUACUAUAGCUUGACACUGAACAUUGAGCCUUGAUGUGUAGGAUAGGUGGGAGGCUUUGAAGUG